rnacentral:rRNA from 1 species
GUUGAACGCUGGCGGCGUGCCUAAUACAUGCAAGUCGAGCGAAUGGACGAGACUUUCUCUUCUCUUCUGCUACCGGCGGACGGGUAAUUCAUACGUAGCUACCUUAUCUUUAAGACUGAGAUCCCUUCAGGAACCCUGAUCUCACAUCCGUCAUUAUUUUGAACGUGAGGGUUCUUCAGACCACGCCGUUCCUGCUGUUCCUAAUUCAUGUUUCCUCGUUGCAUUAGUUAGUUGGUACGGUAACGGCUUACCAAGGCAACGAUGCAUAGCCGACCUGAGAGGGUGAUCGGCCACACUGGAACUGAGACACGGUCCAGACUCCUACGGGAGGCAGCAGUAGGGAAUAUUCCGCAAUGGGCGAAAGCCUGACGGAGCAACGCCGCGUGAGUGAUGAAGGUCUUCGGAUCGUAAAACUCUGUUAGUAGGGAAGAACAGAUGUGUAAGUAACUGUGCACAUCUUGACGGUACCUAAUCAGAAAGCCACGGCUAACUACGUG